AAAUCAUUAGUAUAAGUUAGUACUUGAAAUUGCAAAUUUCAAAGAUUUAUGAUUUU
rnacentral:tRNA from 1 species